UGGAGCUACAAAGCCAGCCAGCCACGCCCGUGAGGCUAAAACCAGACUUGACCCCCAAAGCUGUUAGCAGAGAAGCUGCUUGCAGUAGCUGCUGCAGAAUCGAAGGUUGUGGUACGAUCAAUACCACAUCAUCGCAGGCAGAAGGUCAGAGAGAACAUUUCUGUGAGUCAUACCUCAGUGGAUUUCUACGUCUUGUUAACGAUACGGUCGGCCGCGCUUUCUGAUGUGUUAGAAACAGACUACUUGGCUCCACUCCCCAGGGUGCCAAAACCCCUGCUACGACUACCUUCCUGGAGACAUUUUGAAGACUAUUUGUUUCCCAUGCCUCUGGCAGAAGGGGCACAUGGCUACCUGUGAUGCCCAUCAGCAUGUCAAAGCUCGUGCUGGCCUCCAGGUUCCCGCAGCAUCACAGGCACCUGUUACCAGCUUCAAAGUCCACACUAGCAUCCUAGCUCUUCUCACUUCCUUCUCUGCUCUAACCUCCCUCCAGCUCACAGGCUCCUUGUUCUUCCUAUUACACCUGGCUAUUCUCACUGUUCUCUCUCUCACGUACUUAUUCUUUUCCCAUCACUUACUCUGACUUACUCUAGCUCUUGUUGUCUACCCCCUCUCACUUUGCUCUACUCUCUUGAUAUCUUGAUAUCUCCACUAUUCUCUCCUGCUCUCCUGUUUCCCUGGCCCUGACCAUGUUCAGUCUACUUCUUUCUCUGUCUGCUUUAGAA